GACGAACGCUGGCGGCGUGCUUAACACAUGCAAGUCGAACGGUGAAGCGCCUUCCUUUUUGGUGGGUGUGGAUGAGUGGCGAACGGGUGAGUAACACGUGAGUAACCUGCCCCCUUCUUCUGGAUAACCGCAUGAAAGUGUGGCUAAUACGGGAUAUUCUGGGUCUGUCGCAUGAUGGGUCUGGGAAAGAUAUUGUUUCGGUGGGGGAUGGGCUCGCGGCCUAUCAGCUUGUUGGUGGGGUGAUGGCCUACCGAGGCGGUGACGGGUAGCCGGCCUGAGAGGGUGGACGGUCACACUGGGACUGAGACACGGCCCAGACUCCUACGAGAGGCAGCAGUGGGGAAUAUUGCACAAUGGGCGCAAGCCUGAUGCAGCGACGCCGCGUGAGGGAUGGAGGCCUUCGGGUUGUGAACCUCUUUCGCCAGUGAAGCAGGCCUGCCUCGUUUGUGGGUGGGUUGACGGUAGCUGGAUAAGAAGCGCCGGCUAACUACGUG
rnacentral:rRNA from 1 species